rnacentral:rRNA from 1 species
UGCUAUAGCCAUGCCACCCUGAAUAAGCCCAUCCUGUCUGAUCUCAGAAGCUAAGCAGGGUCGGGCCUGGUUAGUACUUGGAUGGGAGACCACCUAGGAAAACCAGGUGCUGUAGGAG